UACGGGGGGGGCAAGCGUUGUUCGGAAUUACUGGGCGUAAAGGGCUCGUAGGUGGCCAACUAAGUCAGACGUGAAAUCCCUCGGCUUAACCGGGAACUGCGUCUGAUACUGGAUGGCUUGAGUUUGGGAGAGGGAUGCGGAAUUCCAGGUGUAGCGGUGAAAUGCGUAGAUAUCUGGAGGAACACCGGUGGCGAAGGCGGCAUCCUGGACCAACACUGACACUGAGGAGCGAAAGCCAGGGAGCAAACGGG
rnacentral:rRNA from 1 species